GAACGCUAGCGGCAGGCUUAACACAUGCAAGUCGAGGGGUAACANUGGAGCUUGCUCACGAUGACGACCGGCGCACGGGUGCGUAACGCGUAUGCAAUCUACCUUUUACAGGGGAAUAGCCCAGAGAAAUUUGGAUUAAUGCCUCAUAGUAUAUAGUUGUGGCAUCACAAUUAUAUUAAAGAUUUAUCGGUAAAAGAUGAGCAUGCGUUCUAUUAGUUAGUUGGUAAGGUAACGGCUUACCAAGACUACGAUAGAUAGGGGCCCUGAGAGGGGGAUCCCCCACACUGGUACUGAGACACGGACCAGACUCCUACGGGAGGCAGCAGUGAGGAAUAUUGGACAAUGGGCGAGAGCCUGAUCCAGCCAUGCCGCGUGCAGGAAGACUGCCCUAUGGGUUGUAAACUGCUUUUAUACAGGAAGAAACACUGCUACGUGUAGCAGCUUGACGGUACUGUAAGAAUAAGGAUCGGCUAACUCCGUGCCAGCAGCCGCGGUAAUACGGAGGAUCCAAGCGUUAUCCGGAAUCAUUGGGUUUAAAGGGUCCGUAGGUGGACAAUUAAGUCAGAGGUGAAAUCUUGCAGCUCAACUGUAAAAUUGCCUUUGAUACUGGUUGUCUUGAGUUAUUAUGAAGUAGUUAGAAUAUGUAGUGUAGCGGUGAAAUGCAUAGAUAUUACAUAGAAUACCAAUUGCGAAGGCAGAUUACUAAUAAUCAACUGACACUGAUGGACGAAAGCGUGGGUAGCGAACAGGAUUAGAUACCCUGGUAGUCCACGCCGUAAACGAUGGUUACUAGCUGUUCGGACUUCGGUCUGAGUGGCUAAGCGAAAGUGAUAAGUAACCCACCUGGGGAGUACGUUCGCAAGAAUGAAACUCAAAGGAAUUGACGGGGGCCCGCACAAGCGGUGGAGCAUGUGGUUUAAUUCGAUGAUACGCGAGGAACCUUACCAGGGCUUAAAUGUAGAUUGACAGGACUAAAGAUAGUUUUUUCUUCGGACAAUUUACAAGGUGCUGCAUGGUUGUCGUCAGCUCGUGCCGUGAGGUGUCAGGUUAAGUCCUAUAACGAGCGCAACCCCUGUUGUUAGUUGCCAGCGAGUCAAGUCGGGAACUCUAACAAGACUGCCAGUGCAAACUGUGAGGAAGGUGGGGAUGACGUCAAAUCAUCACGGCCCUUACGUCCUGGGCUACACACGUGCUACAAUGGUAGGGACAGAGAGCAGCCACUGGGUGACCAGGAGCGAAUCUAUAAACCCUAUCACAGUUCGGAUCGGAGUCUGCAACUCGACUCCGUGAAGCUGGAAUCGCUAGUAAUCGCAUAUCAGCCAUGAUGCGGUGAAUACGUUCCCGGGCCUUGUACACACCGCCCGUCAAGCCAUGGAAGUUGGAAGUGCCUGAAGUCCGUCACCGCAAGGAACGGCUUAGGGUAAAGUCGG
rnacentral:rRNA from 2 species